GGGUAUCCCGGAACCUGCUGCCACCGGCUGAUGGAGGAGAGCAGGCACACCCAUAACUCGAAAUCCAUUGGUUCUCUGGCUUACCCUCAACAAUCUGGGCGGCGGAAGAGGGAGAGCUGGCCACCUUCAUUAGCAGCGUGAGCGUCACCUGGAGGGCUUGCAGAACCACAGCUGCUGGGCCCCACUCCAGAGGAUCUGACUCAGGAGGUCUGAGGGGCAAUGGGAGGACUUGCACUUUUUUUUCUUUUUUUUUUUUGAGGUAGAGUUUCACUCUUGUUGCCCAGGCUGGAGUGCAAUGGCACAAUCUCCACUCAUUGCAACCUCCGCCUUCUGGGUUCCAGCAAUUCCCCUGCCUCAGUCGCCCGAGUAGCUGGGAUUACAGGCAUGCGCCACCACGCCCGGCUAAUUUUGUAUUUUUACCGGCUAAUUUUGUAUUUUUACUAGAGACAGGGUUUCUCUACACUGGUCAGAAUGGUCUCAAACUCCCGAUCUUAGAAAAAUAAUUUCCACUUUUAUUUUAGGUUCAGGGAUUGCAUGUACAGGUAUGUUACGAGGGUAUAUUGCAUGAUGCUGAGGUUUGGGACAUGAAUGAUCCUGUCACCCAGGUAGUGCGCAUGGCACCCAACAGUUUUGUUUUCAGCCCUUUCCCCCUUUUUUCCUCCCCCCAGAAUCUGUACAAGUUCCCUGUGAAUGAGCAUCACCUGGGAGGCCUUUCUUCUUUAAUCUCACCAGAGGUGAAACCUUUACCUUUAGUGAACAAGAGGCCACUUUCUGCAGGAAUCUGCAUUCUCAGUUUCCUGACAUUCUGGAAGGAGGUGGGGAAAAGGAGUGC
rnacentral:lncRNA from 10 species